GAUGAACGCUGGCGGCGUGCCUAAUACAUGCGAGUCGAGCGAACAGACGAGGAGCUUGCUCCUCUGACGUUAGCGGCGGACGGGUGAGUAACACGUGGAUAACCUACCUAUAAGACUGGGAUAACUUCGGGAAACCGGAGCUAAUACCGGAUAAUAUAUUGAACCGCAUGGUUCAAUAGUGAAAGACGGUUUUGCUGUCACUUAUAGAUGGAUCCGCGCCGCAUUAGCUAGUUGGUAAGGUAACGGCUUACCAAGGCAACGAUGCGUAGCCGACCUGAGAGGGUGAUCGGCCACCCUGGAACGUAGACACGGUCCAGACUCCUACGGGAGGCAGCAGUAGGGAAUCUUCCGCAAUGGGCGAAAGCUUGACGGAGCAACGCCGCGUGAGUGAUGAAGGUCUUCGGAUCGUAAAACUCUGUUAUUAGGGAAGAACAAAUGUGUAAGUAACUAUGCACGUCUUGACAGUACCUAAUCAGAAAGCCACGGCUAACUACGUG
rnacentral:rRNA from 1 species